GAUCCUGGCUCAGAACGAACGCUGGCGGCAGGCCUAACACAUGCAAGUCGAGCGCGCCCUUCGGGGUGAGCGGCGGACGGGUUAGUAACGCGUGGGAACGUACCCUUUGGUAGGGAAUAGCCACUGGAAACGGUGAGUAAUACCCUAUGAGCCCUUCGGGGGAAAGAUUUAUCGCCAAAGGAUCGGCCCGCGUUAGAUUAGGUAGUUGGUGGGGUAAUGGCCUACCAAGCCUACGAUCUAUAGCUGGUUUUAGAGGAUGAUCAGCAACACUGGGACUGAGACACGGCCCAGACUCCUACGGGAGGCAGCAGUGGGGAAUCUUGGACAAUGGGGGCAACCCUGAUCCCAGCCAUGCCGCGUGAGUGAAGAAGGCCUUAGGGUCGUAAAGCUCUUUCGCCUGUGAAGAUAAUGACGGUAGCAGGUAAAGAAACCCCGGCUAACUCCGUGCCAGCAGCGGC
rnacentral:rRNA from 1 species